rnacentral:tRNA from 1 species
AUCCUUCCUCUCUGACGUGGUGUCGUCGAGCGUCCCCUGGUGACGCUCGGUAGCCAUCCGUGGUCGGCUCGCGCUGGUUCGAUUCCGGUGAUGGCUC